rnacentral:rRNA from 1 species
GACGAACGCUGGCGGCGUGCCUAAUACAUGCAAGUUGAGCGCUGAAGGUUGGUACUUGUACGAACUGGAUGAGCAGCGAACGGGUGAGUAACGCGUGGGGAAUCUGCCUUUGAGCGGGGGACAACAUUUGGAAACGAAUGCUAAUACCGCAUAAAAACUUUAAACACAAGUUUUAAGUUUGAAAGAUGCAAUUGCAUCACUCAAAGAUGAUCCCGCGUUGUAUUAGCUAGUUGGUGAGGUAAAGGCUCACCAAGGCGAUGAUACAUAGCCGACCGCAGAGGGUGAUCGGCAACAUUAGGACUGAGACACGGCCCAAACUCCUACGGGAGGCAGCAGUAGGGAAUCUUCGGCAAUGAACGAAAGUCUGACCGAGCAACGCCGCGUGAGUGAAGAAGGUUUUCGGAUCGCAAAACUCUGUUGGUAGAGAAGAACGUUGGUGAGAGUGGAAAGCUCAUCAAGUGACGGUAACUACCCAGAAAGGGACGGCUAACUACGUGCCAGCCGCCGCCGUAAUAC